GGCGGUUCUCAGGUGACGCACCCCAGGAUCAGGCUCCUUCCUCUCUGGCGCCAGAUGCAUCACCCAAGAACCACA
rfam:Myotis davidii contig141739, whole genome shotgun sequence.